rnacentral:rRNA from 1 species
GAUGAACGCUAGCGGCAGGCUUAACACAUGCAAGUCGAGGGGUAGAAGGAGCUUGCUCCUUUGAGACCGGCGCACGGGUGCGUAACGCGUAUGCAAUCUGCCUUUUGCAGAGGGAUAGCCCAGAGAAAUUUGGAUUAAUACCUCAUAGUAUGUGAGGAUGGCAUCAUUUUCACAUUAAAGUCACAACGGCAAAAGAUGAGCAUGCGUCCCAUUAGCUAGUUGGUAAGGUAACGGCUUACCAAGGCUACGAUGGGUAGGGGUCCUGAGAGGGAGAUCCCCCCACACUGGUACUGAGACACGGACCAGACUCCUACGGGAGGCAGCAGUGAGGAAUAUUGGACAAUGGGCGCAAGCCUGAACCAGCCAUGCCGCGUGCAGGAUGAAGGCCCUCGGGUUGUAAACUGCUUUUGUACGAGAAGAAACAACAUUACGUGUAAUGUCUUGACGGUAUCGUAAGAAUAAGGAUCGGCUAACUCCGUGCCAG